GAAGUAGUAGUUUAAGUAAAAUAUUAAGUUGCAAUCUUAAAGUUGGGCUUCCCCUACUUUU
rnacentral:tRNA from 1 species